rnacentral:tRNA from 1 species
GCGGGGGUUCCCGAGUUGGUCAAGCACGUGACCACCUGGACAAAAGGCCCAAGUGGUCUAGGGCCAAAGGGGCAGGACUUAAGAUCCUGUGGCUUAGUGCCUUCGUGGGUUCGAAUCCAGCCAUCCAGCAACCGCUGGGCUCGAAAUUCCCACCCCCCGCA